rnacentral:rRNA from 1 species
UACGAAGGAUGCGAGCGUUAUCCGGAUUUAUUGGGUUUAAAGGGAGCGUAGGCGGUCUUAUAAGUCAGUGGUGAAAUCUCGUUGCUUAACAACGAACGUGCCAUUGAUACUGUAGGACUUGAGUACAGUUUGCCGUUGGCGGAAUGUGUCAUGUAGCGGUGAAAUGCAUAGAUAUGACACAGAACACCGAUUGCGAAGGCAGCUGACGAAACUGUAACUGACGCUGAGGCUCGAAAGCGUGGGGAUCAAACAGG